rnacentral:rRNA from 1 species
GAAGGUGGCAAGCGUUAUUCGGAUUUACUGGGCGUACAGGGAGCGUAGGCGGUUCGGUAAGCCCUCUGUGAAAUCUCCAGGCUUAACCUGGAACAGUCGGAGGGGACUGCUGGGCUAGAGGACGGGAGAGGAGCGCGGAAUUCCCGGUGUAGCGGUGAAAUGCGUAGAGAUCGGGAGGAAGGCCGGUGGCGAAGGCGGCGCUCUGGAACGUUUCUGACGCUGAGGCUCGAAAGCGUGGGGAGCAAACAGGAUUAGAUACCCUGGCAGUCCACGCCUUAAACUAUGAAUACUAAGUGUCGGCGGGUUACCGCCGGUGCCGCAGCUAACGCAUUAAGUAUUCCGCCUGGGAAGUACGGCCGCAAGGUUG